GCCAGAAGAGAAGACUCAACUCUUUGCAGAAAACAGAAACUGCCUUUGAGUAGAGAAGGGCUGAGAAGGAAGAUGCUAAGGAUAUUCUGAGGGGUGAUCAGAAGAUUCCUUGAGUGCAGGGGGGCAGGCAAGGGGUAGAAAGAAACUGUUGUCACAGAGUCAUAAAAUUCUAAGCCACUGCAAUCUCCAGGCUGGACUUGAUUUUGUGACAGUGUCUCCUUUUUGUGGGCUGUAGUGUAGUGACAAGUUCUUUUGCUGUUUUUCCACUCCGUGCCUUUGCUGAAAGUCUGCCGCACUGGCACAUGAAGUGGAAACUCCCUCUUUGAAUGCAGCAGCAUUGGAUAAUUGUGGAUGUUCUGUGGCGCCGCACCACGACUUGAUCACCAGUUGUUUCUUCAGGGCAAGGGUCUCACUCUGUCACCCAGGCUGGAGUAGAGUGGUACAAUCACAGCUCACUGCAGCCUCAAACUCCCAGGCUCAAGUAUCCUCCUACCUCAGCCUCCCAAGUAGCUGUAACUACAGUGACUGAUCAGGCUUUUGUCACACUGGCCACAGAUGACAUCUACUGCCAGGGCGCCCUGGUCCUGGGGCAGUCACUGAGGAGACACAGGCUGACGAGGAAGCUGGUGGUGUUGAUCACUCCUCAGGUGUCCAGCCUGCUCAGGGUCUUACCGUGUUGCUUAGGCUGGAGUGCAGCGGCACCGUCAGGGCUCACAGCAGUCUUGACCUCCCAGGCUCAAGUCAUCCUCUUGCCUCAGCCCCGCUAGUACCUGGGAUGACAGACUUGCACGACCAUGCACAGGGAACACGCAGCCUUAUUGCCACGUACCUGUCCUGGGGCACCUUGCCGCCUGCCAGCUGGACCACAGGAGGGAACACGUCCAUCAGGCUCGUGGGCUCUCCAAUCACUCAGCCAGCCAGGAGCACCCUGGGCCAGUGGAAAA
rnacentral:lncRNA from 1 species